GUGAAUCAUCAAAUUUUUGAACGCAUAUUGCACUCUCUGGUAUUCCGGAGAGUAUGCCUAUUUGAGGGUCAUUUGAAAUAAUAUAAAUUCAAAGACUUCUCGGAAUUUAAAAUGGGUUGCCUAUUUUUUGUGGUCGCCUAAAAUUCAAGAAUAGUGUAUAUUCUUGGGUUGCGUGAUAGU
rnacentral:misc_RNA from 1 species